rnacentral:rRNA from 1 species
UACGGAGGGUGCGAGCGUUGUCCGGAAUCACUGGGCGUAAAGGGCGCGUAGGCGGCGCGGGCAGUCAACGGUGAAAGCUUGGGGCUCAACCCCGAGUCGGCCGUCGAUACUCCCGGGCUGGAGCACUGUAGAGGCAGGUGGAAUUCCGGGUGUAGCGGUGGAAUGCGUAGAGAUCCGGAAGAACACCGGUGGCGAAGGCGGGUCUCUGGACAGUUCCUGACGCUGAGGCACGAAGGUCAGGGGAGCAAACGGG